AGGACCUCAUUCCUACAGAUGGAUGCAUUUCUCAUUCGAUUGGAGAAGUUGGAUUCGAUAAUUAUUGUUCGCCAUUUAUAUAAUCGGAUUCUGCAGUUAAAGGAAGUGUGCAAAGAUUCACAGGGAAGCCAAGAUUCAGAUGGUGAACAAUGACCAUAGAACCUGCUUAUUCCAUUAGAAGGUGCUCACAAUUGGACCCCAGUAUCCACGGCGCUAGUCUCGCUCAGAAUGUGCAGACACAAUUUUAUGGCUCAAGAUGAAGAUAUGGUAAGAGAAAAGAAAAGGGGGGGCUGGGGCUGUCCGGCCAUGAUUGGUUUUUGAUUGAAUUCAAUGUUCCACCGUUAGGAAGGACACUUCCUAGAAACACACACGCUCUCUCACACUCCCACCUUGUGGUUAUGUGGACGCCAUGCACUGAACUUAAAUUAUUGUUGCUUGCCCCUCUAGAGUUUUGCUGCCACCAGCCCUUGGCCCAUAACGAGGGAAGACUAAUCAACCUUUUCUUAAACUUUUGUCCUGACCUGGAUUCCUUCCUCCCCCUUUUCUGCAUUUCACUUUUUCUUUAAGACGAGAGGUACUAUGGAGUGGAGCAUUUUUAUUCUCACUUGGAAAGAUGCCUUUUGUGCAAUUUCCAUUUUUAAUGGGGAGAGAAAUGACAUGUAAUUAUCUCACAGUCGUGGUGCUGUAAAUAUGGAGAGAUUUUCCUGAUCAUUGAAAAAAUGUGUAUAUACUGGCAUAUUCUUUUAAAAGCUUUUGUUAUGAGCA